rnacentral:rRNA from 1 species
AGACCCGAAACCCGGUGAUCUAGCCAUGGGCAGGUUGAAGGUUGGGUAACACUAACUGGAGGACCGAACCGACUAAUGUUGAAAAAUUAGCGGAUGACCUGUGGCUGGGGGUGAAAGGCCAAUCAAACCGGGAGAUAGCUGGUUCUCCCCGAAAGCUAUUUAGGUAGCGCCUCGUGAAUUCAUCUCCGGGGGUAGAGCACUGUUUCGGCUAGGGGGCCAUCCCGGCUUACCAACCCGAUGCAAACUGCGAAUACCGGAGAAUGUUAUCACGGGAGACACACGGCGGGUGCUAACGUCCGUCGUGAAGAGGGAAACAACCCAGACCGCCAGCUAAGGUCCCAAAGUCAUGGUUAAGUGGGAAACGAUGUGGGAAGGCCCAGACAGCCAGGAUGUUGGCUUAGAAGCAGCCAUCAUUUAAAGAAAGCGUAAUAGCUCACUGGUCGAGUCGGCCUGCGCGGAAGAUGUAACGGGGCUAAACCAUGCACCGAAGCUGCGGCAGCGACACUGUGUGUUGUUGGGUAGGGGAGCGUUCUGUAAGCCUGUGAAGGUGGCCUGUGAGGGUUGCUGGAGGUAUCAGAAGUGCGAAUGCUGACAUAAGUAACGAUAAAGCGGGUGAAAAGCCCGCUCGCCGGAAGACCAAGGGUUCCUGUCCAACGUUAAUCGGGGCAGGGUGAGUCGACCCCUAAGGCGAGGCCGAAAGGCGUAGUCGAUGGGAAACAGGUUAAUAUUCCUGUACUUGGUGUUACUGCGAAGGGGGGACGGAGAAGGCUAUGUUGGCCGGGCGACGGUUGUCCCGGUUUAAGCGUGUAGGCUGGUUUUCCAGGCAAAUCCGGAAAAUCAAGGCUGAGGCGUGAUGACGAGGCACUACGGUGCUGAAGCAACAAAUGC